rnacentral:rRNA from 1 species
CCUACGGGAGGCAGCAGUGGGGAAUAUUGGACAAUGGGGGCAACCCUGAUCCAGCCAUGCCGCGUGUGUGAAGAAGGCCCUCGGGUUGUAAAGCACUUUCAGUGAGGAAGAACGCCUGGUGGUUAAUACCCAUCAGGAAAGACAUCACUCACAGAAGAAGCACCGGCUAACUCCGUGCCAGCAGCCGCGGUAAUACGGAGGGUGCGAGCGUUAAUCGGAAUUACUGGGCGUAAAGCGCGCGUAGGUGGCUUGAUAAGCCGGUUGUGAAAGCCCCGGGCUCAACCUGGGAACGGCAUCCGGAACUGUCAAGCUAGAGUGCAGGAGAGGAAGGUAGAAUUCCCGGUGUAGCGGUGAAAUGCGUAGAGAUCGGGAGGAAUACCAGUGGCGAAGGCGGCCUUCUGGACUGACGCUGACACUGAGGUGCGAAAGCGUGGGUAGCAAACAGGAUUAGAUACCCCUGUAGUC